AAUCCUAAUGUGGCAAAUAUUAUAUUACUGUAUUGAAAAUUGAGCGGUAUAUUGACAUGAAAUUGUCGAAUCCGCGAGUCAAAAAUAAGUCCUAUUAAAUAAGGAGAUGAAAUAAUAUUUAGUAAUAAACCAAUAGCAGGAGGGGUGCAAGCAAAGCACAGGAGGGUGAUGGUACCCAAACCAUUAAUUGGGUCAGGCCCAAAACACAUUCCAAUUACCAAAACUCACUUAACUAUACUAAUCAUAUAGUUAAUCCCUAUUAACAAAUGCAUAAAGAAGAAAAAAAAAACAAGUUUAGCACAAGAUUUUCUCAAACAAUCAGAAGAGGCAAGGAGUUUUUAAAGUUGGAUCACCUAAUCCAUCGCUUCAGUACCUACACAUCCCCAGCAGCACAAAUCACUCAAUGGAUCGCUUCAAAACCCACUUCUAAAUCACGUUGUUCGCAACUUUCACACUUAUGUUAACUUCCCCUGCAUCGUCCAUGUCAUGAUCGUCUCUGCCUUCAUGAUGAUGCAUCGUCGGCCACGGAACUCAGCGCAAAGAUGGUGAUGAUGAAGUUUGAAAACUUGUACUGUAUAGCUACUGGUGAUGGUUGAGUUGCAACAUUUGUUGACAGGGAUGAUUCGGUUUAAAUAUGGGGAGGUUAUGUACCAAAAAAACUUAUUCAAGCAUUAUAAUAAGUCGGGUUUGCUGGCGGUUGUAGCUGUUGGGGAUGGAAGGAGAUUUUCGGUGAGGGUUUUGUGGUGGUAGAUCGGAGAGAAAAAGGGUCGUGAUUGGGGUUUCGGUGAUGAGUGGAUGAAGAAUUGAGGGUCAAGGAAGGAUGGGUGUGUAGUUAGCGGUGGUGGAGGGUUGAUUUAGGUGAAGAAGAUGAAGGUGUGAGGUGAGGUAGGGUUAAUGGAGACGGAGGAGGCGGAUGUAGGAGGGUUAGGGUUGAAGUGGGAUUUCGGCAGGGUAACAGUAUCUUUCUUCCCCUCCUUUUCAAUCGAUUUGAUCCCCCUUUUAUAGAGUGAAGUGAGUGGCAAAAUCCAUGAGCUGUCAAGAGAUCAUGAGAAUCAUUCCGUUGGAAGGAAAAUUCUCUUUAGAUUUUGUGGUCCCUGAAUGAGGUGCAUCCCAAUUCAAUGGUUGGCUCAAGGCAAAGCAGUGAGAUUUAGCAGGUUUUGUGUGAGGAUGCCAUCGUUUAUCAUUUUGUACUGUCGUUUGCAACUUGGAAUGAAUGUGCUUUGCAUGGUUGAGUGGAUUAAAUUGAAGUUAGGAGUUGAUAUCUGUUUCAGGGCUAUUUACAGGUCCAAAGUUUGGAAUUGUUUUAACCAUGCUACCGAUCAUGACUCAAAAAGGCAUUCGGCGUGUUUGUGGUAUGCAGGUACAAGGAUAAUUUAGAAAACCAUUUUCUCACUUGGAAGUAGCAUUAGAUCAAACACGUACCAUAGCCGUCGACGCACAUUAUCAAGCUUGGAGAUCAUUUCUUGUAAUACGAUCGGUCUGUUUGUGUAUAGGGCUUAAGUGUGGUUUGUGUUUUGGUGAGGUUGGGACGUCAUGUCGGUUUGGUUAUGCAAUUAGAGAAAUGGUUCUAUAGGUGUUGUAUCGUGAGUAUGCAUGGUUCUUGAUACUAACCAAAUGGCCCUGCAAUGGAUUUCUAUCCUGCCAUGCGUUCGGUUAUUCGCGGCUGCCACUUUAGAGUUUUUUGAAGGAGUGUUGAUGCAUCAACGGCAAUGUUGGUUAACAUGGUAGUUAGCUCAAGUUAAAGACACAGUUGCAGGUUAUAAGUCGGUUGUGAUUUACCCUUUCAGAACAAUCGGUAAGGUUGUACAUACCACAGGUUCUUUUAAAACUUGUAGCUUUCCAUAUGCUUAUGUGCCCUUUUAUCCUUACGCACCUGUAUUCACACUCACAUUGUCGGCAUGGCGCUGCUAGCUCUUGGAUCUAUAGGUCACCGCAUGACACGGGAGCGAAUCUGUCAUAACGUCCUUGGAAACCAAUGUAAUGAGGAACCUGAGAAACUGUCACGGCCAACUGAUGGAUUAUUUUAGCUUUAGAAUCUUAUUUCUUUCCUUUGUCUGGGUUGUAACAUUAGCGCAUCACGGUUUGAAACGCAUAUGUGUCGGUCGAUCUUGAAACAACUGAUUUGUAUGCCGUAGUGUUAGUUUGAAAAAAUGAAAAAAUGUAAUUUUAAUGUGUGAACAUGUUUUGCCAAUAUACUGCACUUGCAGUUUCAAACAUAAACCAUGCAGUUUCAAACAUAAA